CAGUCGAGCGGUAACAGGCGUAGCAAUACGUGCUGACGAGCGGCGAACGGGUGAGCAAUGCUUCGGAAUCUGCCCAAUGAUGGGGAAUAACCAGUCGAAAGAUUGGCUAAUACCGCAUACGCCCUACGGGGGAAAGCGGGGGUCGCAAGACCUCGCGUCGAUGGAUGAGCCGAAGUCGGAUUAGCUAGUUGGUAGGGUAACGGCCUACCAAGGCGACGAUCCGUAGCUGGUCUGAGAGGACGACCAGCCACACUGGGACUGAGACGCGGCCCAGACUCCUACGGGAGGCAGCAGUGGGGAAUAUUGGACAAUGGGGGCAACCCUGAUCCAGCGACGCCGCGUGUGUGAAGAAGGCCUGCGGGUUGUAAAGCACUUUUAGUGGGGAUGAAAAGCACAUCGCUAAUACCGGUGUGUCUUGACCUAACCCAAAGAAAGAGCACCGGCUAACUCUGUGCCAGCAGCCGCG
rnacentral:rRNA from 1 species